GUGCUCAGGUCAGCAGCACAUAUACUAAAUUGGAAUGACAGAGAGAGAUUAGCAUGGCCCCCAAGCAAGGAUGACACACAAAUUUGUGAAGUGUCCAUAUUUUUA